UGCGUAGGUGGGCAGGUAAGUCAGUGGUGAAAUCUCCGGGCUUAACUCGGAAACUGCCGUUGAUACUAUCUGUCUUGAAUAUCGUGGAGGUUAGCGGAAUAUGUCAUGUAGCGGUGAAAUGCUUAGAUAUGACAUAGAACACCCAUUGCGAAGGCAGCUAACUACACGAUCGUUGACACUGAGGCACGAAAGCGUGGGGAGCAAACA
rnacentral:rRNA from 1 species